CUCAGUUCGGAUCGGAGUCUGCAACCCGACUCCGUGAAGCUGGAUUCGCUAGUAAUCGCGCAUCAGCCAUGGCGCGGUGAAUACGUUCCCGGGCCUUGUACACACCGCCCGUCAAGCCAUGGAAGCCGGGGGUGCCUGAAGUGUGCAGCCGCAAGGAGCGCCCUAAGGUAAAACCGGUGACUGGGGCUAAGUCGUAACAAGGUACC
rnacentral:rRNA from 1 species